GACGAACGCUGGCGGCGUGCUUAACACAUGCAAGUCGAACGGGUCUGCCCUGUUUUUUGCGGGGUGGGUCAGUGGCGAACGGGUGAGUAACACGUGAGUAACCUGCCCCUCACUUCUGGAUAACCGCUUGAAGGGGUGGCUAAUACGGGGUGUUCUGGCUGUGCCGCAUGGUGUGGCUGGGAAAGAUUCACUUUUGUGGUGUUUUGGUGGGGGAUGGGCUCGCGGCCUAUCAGCUUGUUGGUGGGGUGAUGGCCUGCCAAGGCUUUGACGGGUAGCCGGCCUGGGAGGGUGGGCGGUCACACUGGGACUGAGAUACGGCCCAGACUCCUGCGGGAGGCAGCAGUGGGGGGUAUUGCACAAUGGGCGGAAGCCUGAUGCAGCGACGUCGCGUGAGGGAUGGAGGCCUUCGGGUUGUGAACCUCUUUCGCCGGUGAAGAAGGUCCUGCUCUUUGUGGUGGGGUUGACGGUAGCCGGGUUAUGAAGCGCCGGCUAACUACGUG
rnacentral:rRNA from 1 species